UGGGGAAUAUUGCACAAUGGGCGAAAGCCUGAUGCAGCAACGCCGCGUGAGUGAUGAAGGUCUUCGGAUUGUAAAGCUCUGUCUUUUGGGACGAUAAUGACGGUACCAAAGGAGGAAGCCACGGCUAACUACGUGCCAGCAGCCGCGGUAAUACGUAGGUGGCGAGCGUUGUCCGGAUUUACUGGGCGUAAAGGGUGCGUAGGCGGAUGUUUAAGUGAGAUGUGAAAUACCCGGGCUUAACUUGGGUGCUGCAUUUCAAACUGGAUAUCUAGAGUGCAGGAGAGGAGAAUGGAAUUCCUAGUGUAGCGGUGAAAUGCGUAGAGAUUAGGAAGAACACCAGUGGCGAAGGCGAUUCUCUGGACUGUAACUGACGCUGAGGCACGAAAGCGUGGGUAGCAAACAGGAUUAGAUACCCUGGUAGUCCACGCCGUAAAACGAUGAGUACUAGGUGUAGGAGGUAUCGACCCCUUCUGUGCCGCAGUAAACACAUUAAGUACUCCGCCUGGGAAGUACGAUCGCAAGAUUAAAA
rnacentral:rRNA from 1 species